GUGUCAGCAGCCGCGGUAAUACGUAGGUGGCAAGCGUUGUCCGGAUUUAUUGGGCGUAAAGCGAACGCAGGCGGGAGAACAAGUCAGCUGUGAAAGCCCUCGGCUUAACCGAGGAACGGCAACUGAAACUGUUUUUCUUGAGUGCAGAAGAGGAGAGUGGAACUCCAUGUGUAGCGGUGAAAUGCGUAGAUAUAUGGAAGAACACCAGUGGCGAAGGCGGCUCUCUGGUCUGUAACUGACGCUGAGGUUCGAAAGCAUGGGUAGCGAACAGGAUUAGAUACCCUGGUAGUCCAUGCCGUAAACGAUGAGUGCUAAGUGUUGGGAGGUUUCCGCCUCUCAGUGCUGCAGCUAACGCAUUAAGCACUCCGCCUGGGGAGUACGACCGCAAGGUUAAAACUCAAAUAAAUUGACGG
rnacentral:rRNA from 1 species